ensembl:lncRNA
CACACACACACACACACACACACACACACACACACACACACACACACACACACACACACACACACACACACACACACUCUUUCCUUUGCUGUGAGGCCUUAGGUGUUGGAGCGUUCCCCGCUCUGGGAGGGUUGAAGCUGGGGCCGCCAGAGAAGGCCGGAGUAGCUUGCUGCCGCUCCAGGAGCCUCGAUGGAGAGGGGUCAUUUAGCUGGAGGGGGUCUCUCUCUCUCUCUGUGUGUUUGUAGUCUCUCGAUGGAGAGGGGUCAUUUAGCUGGAGGGGGUCUCUCUCUCUCUCUCUGUGUUUGUAGUCUCUCGAUGGAGAGGGGUCAUUUAGCUGGAGGGGGUCUCUCUCUCUCUCUGUGUGUUUGUAGUCUCUCGAUGGAGAGGGGUCAUUUAGCUGGAGGGGGUCUCUCUCUCUCUGUGUGUUUGUAGUCUCUCGAUGGAGAGGGGUCAUUUAGCUGGAGGGGGUCUCUCUCUCUCUGUGUGUUUGUAGUCUCUCGAUGGAGAGGGGUCAUUUAGCUGGAGGGGGUCUCUCUCUCUCUCUGUGUGUUUGUAGUCUCUCGAUGGAGAGGGGUCAUUUAGCUGGAGGGGGUCUCUCUCUCUCUCUGUGUGUUUGUAGUCUCUCGAUGGAGAGGGGUCAUUUAGCUGGAGGGGGUCUCUCUCUCUCUGUGUGUUUGUAGUCUCUCGAUGGAGAGGGGUCAUUUAGCUGGAGGGGGUCUCUCUCUCUCUCUGUGUGUUUGUAGUCUCUCGAUGGAGAGGGGUCAUUUAGCUGGAGGGGGUCUCUCUCUCUCUCUCUGUGUUUGUAGUCUCUCGAUGGAGAGGGGUCAUUUAGCUGGA